UACGGAGGUUGCGAGCGUGGCUCGGAAUCACUGGGCGUAAAGCGUACGCAGGCGGCUCGUUAAGUCGGGUGUGAAAGCCCGGGGCUCAACCCCGGAAUUGCGCCCGAUACUGGCGAGCUUGAGUACGGGAGAGGGAUAGCGGAAUUCCUGGUGUAGAGGUGAAAUUCGUAGAUAUCAGGAGGAACACAAGUGGCGAAAGCGGCUUCCUGGCCCGAUACUGACGCUCAUGUACGAAAGCGUGGGGAGCAAACAGG
rnacentral:rRNA from 1 species